rnacentral:rRNA from 1 species
AUUGAACGCUGGCGGCAGGCCUAACACAUGCAAGUCGAACGGUAACAGGAAACAGCUUGCUGUUUCGCUGACGAGUGGCGGACGGGUGAGUAAUGUCUGGGAAACUGCCUGAUGGAGGGGGAUAACUACUGGAAACGGUAGCUAAUACCGCAUAACGUCGCAAGACCAAAGAGGGGGACCUUCGGGCCUCUUGCCAUCGGAUGUGCCAAGAUGGGAUUAGCUAGUAGGUGGGGUAACGGCUCACCUAGGCGACGAUCCCUAGCUGGUCUGAGAGGAUGACCAGCCAGACUGGAACUGGGACACGGUCCAGACUCCUACGGGAGGCAGCAGUGGGGAAUAUUGCACAAUGGGCGCAAGCCUGAUGCAGCCAUGCCGCGUGUAUGAAGAAGGCCUUCGGGUUGUAAAGUACUUUCAGCGGGGAGGAAGGGAGUAAAGUUAAUACCUUUGCUCAUUGACGUUACCCGCAGAAGAAGCACCGGCUAACUCCGUGCCAGCCGCCGCGGUAA